CUGUCUUUGGGGAGAAAAAAAAAAAAAAAAGAAGCAAAGGAGUUCUCAGGGCUGCCAAACCUACAGUAAAGGUUGAAUGGUAGAAUAUUUCUCCUACAUAA